rnacentral:rRNA from 1 species
UAGGGAAUCUUGCGCAAUGGGCGAAAGCCUGACGCAGCAACGCCGCGUGCAGGAGGAAGGCCUUCGGGUCGUAAACUGCUUUUAUAUGUGACGAUUAUGACGGUAGCAUAUGAAUAAGGAUCGGCUAACUCCGUGCCAGCAGCCGCGGUCAAACGGAGGAUCCGAGCGUUAUCCGGAAUUACUUGGCGUAAAGAGUUGCGUAGGUGGCAAGGUAAGCAAAGUGUGAAAUCUCAUGGCUCAACCAUGAGUCUAUGCUUUGAACUGCCUAGCUAGAGUGCGGGAGAGGUAGCUGGAAUUGCUAGUGUAGGAGUGAAAUCCGUUGAUAUUAGCAGGAACACCGAUGGCGUAGGCAGGCUACUAGCCCGUUACUGACACUAAGGCACGAAAGCGUGGGGAGCGAACGGG